rnacentral:rRNA from 1 species
AUUGAACGCUGGCGGCAGGCCUAACACAUGCAAGUCGAGCGGCAGCGGAAAGUAGCUUGCUACUUUGCCGGCGAGCGGCGGACGGGUGAGUAAUGUCUGGGAAACUGCCUGAUGGAGGGGGAUAACUACUGGAAACGGUAGCUAAUACCGCAUAAUGUCGCAAGACCAAAGAGGGGGACCUUCGGGCCUCUUGCCAUCAGAUGUGCCCAGAUGGGAUUAGCUAGUAGGUGGGGCAACGGCUCACCUAGGCGACGAUCCCUAGCUGGUCUGAGAGGAUGACCAGCCACACUGGAACUGAGACACGGUCCAGACUCCUACGGGAGGCAGCAGUGGGGAAUAUUGCACAAUGGGCGCAAGCCUGAUGCAGCCAUGCCGCGUGUAUGAAGAAGGCCUUCGGGUUGUAAAGUACUUUCAGCGGGGAGGAAGGUGUUGAGGUUAAUAACCUCAGCAAUCGACGUUACCCGCAGAAGAAGCACCGGCUAACUCCGUGCCAGCCGCCGCCGUAA